rnacentral:rRNA from 1 species
GCGCCGCGGUAAUACCGGCGGCUCGAGUGGUGGCCACUAUUAUUGGGCUUAAAGCGUCCGUAGCUUGGUUGUUAAGUCUCUUGGGAAAUCUACCGGCUCAACCGGUAGGCGUUCAGGAGAUACUGGCAAUCUAGGGACCGGGAGAGGUGAGAGGUACUCCAGGGGUAGGAGUGAAAUCCCUGUAAUCCUUGGGGGACCACCUGUGGCGAAGGCGUCUCACUAGAACGGCUCCGACAGUGAGGGACGAAAGCUGGGGGAGCAAACCGGAUUAGAUACCCGGGUAGUCCCAGCUGUAAACGAUGCGCGUUAGGUGUAUCGGUGACCACGAGUCACCGAGGUGCCGAAGGGAAACCGUGAAACGUGCCGCCUGGGAAGUACGGUCGCAAGGCUGAAACUUAAAGGAAUUGGCGGGGGAGCACCACAACAGGUGGAGCCUGCGGUUUAAUCGGACUCAACGCCGGAAAGCUCACCGGAUAAGACAGCGGAAUGAUAGCCGGGCUGAAGACUCUGCUUGACUAGCUGAGAGGAGGUGCAUGGCCGUCGUCAGUUCGUACUGUGAAGCAUCCUGUUAAGUCAGGCAACGAGCGAGACCCACGCCAACAGUUGCCAGCAUGUCCUCCGGGAUGAUGGGGACACUGUUGGGACCGCCUCUGCUAAAGAGGAGGAAGGAAUGGGCAACGGUAGGUCAGCAUGCCCCGAAUUAUCCGGGCUACACGCGGGCUACAAUGGACAGGACAAUGGGUAUCGACACCGAAAGGUGAAGGCAAUCUCUUAAACCUGCCCGUAGUUCGGAUUGUGGGCUGCAACUCGCCCACAUGAAGCUGGAAUCUGUAGUAAUCGCGUCUCAAAAUGGCGCGGUGAAUAUGUCCCUGCCCCUUGCACACACCGCCCGUCAAACCACCCGAGUGAGGUCUUGAUGAGGCUGCGGUUGUCGCCGUGGUCGAAUCUGGGUUUCGCAAGGGGGGUUAAGUCGUAACAAGGUAACCAA